UACGUAGGGUGCGAGCGUUGUCCGGAAUUAUUGGGCGUAAAGGGCUCGUAGGCGGUUUGUCGCGUCGGGAGUGAAAACAUCGGGCUUAACUCGAUGCUUGCUUUCGAUACGGGCAGACUUGAGGUAUGCAGGGGAGAAUGGAAUUCCUGGUGUAGCGGUGAAAUGCGCAGAUAUCAGGAGGAACACCGGUGGCGAAGGCGGUUCUCUGGGCAUUACCUGACGCUGAGACGCGAAAGCGUGGGAGCGAACAGG
rnacentral:rRNA from 1 species